GACGUAGGGGGCCAGCGUUGCUCGGAAUUACUGGGCGUAAAGGGUCUGUAGGCGGUGUGGCAAGUCGGUAGUGAAAUCUCCCGGCUUAACUGGGAGGCUGCUGCCGAAACUGCCAUGCUCGAGUGCGAGAGAGGCGAGUGGAAUUGCAGGUGUAGCGGUGAAAUGCGUAGAUAUCUGCAGGAACACCAGAGGCGAAAGCGGCUCGCUGGAUCGCAACUGACGCUGAGAGACGGAAGCUAGGGGAGCAAACAGG
rnacentral:rRNA from 1 species